AUGAGUCGCAUCAAGGCCGGGGAGCAACUCUUCUACGGAUCCACGGCGGAAGCUCGAGCAGCAGCAACGUCACAGCAAAAAGAGAAAUUCCACAUGGCGCUGCCAUCAUCCGCCGUGGUGCCCGCAUGGAUGGAGAUCAUGUCGCGCAUGCCCCCGGCCACGCUCAGGUUCGAGAGAUCCAUCUCAGACGGCACAAAGCUCGAUUUCUUGCCCUUCUACGAACGAGGCGGCAACGGUGCUAGCAAGAUCCUCUGCGUGGACGCGGCGGGUCGCUGCUUCAUACAUGCUAUUGACUCCGGCUCCUCCCAGCCAGUUCCAUUCCUAAGUAGUUCCAAGGAGGAUAACCCCAUCUGCUUCUCCAUCCCUAGUCCCGACGCCCCCAACCCCGAGCAAUCUGAUGCCUUGUACGUUAUGAAGCAGCUCCCUGUGAGUCGCAAUCCCUCCAACUUCGAGGUCCUCAAGUACAGCGACCCUUCCAGUUGCGAGAAGAUGGAAGGCUGGAAUUGGCACCGGCUCCCAUCACCGAUCGACUAUGUUGACGUUUCCCUUGUCAAGAGCCAUACGCUGCUUCACAUUGACGGUGAUCCAAUUUUUCUUGUCUCAUCUCCCGAAGGAAGUGCCAUCGGCACCCACUGCUUCAACACGGUCACCCGCAAGUGGUUUAAGGCUGGACGCUGGACGCUGCCCUUCUUUAACCGUGCUGAGCAUGUACUGGAGCUCGGCAACCUUUGGUUUGGCAUCUGCAAUUCUAGUCCCAAUCACUUCUGCGCAAUUGACCUGUCAUCUAUUCACCCGGACAAGGCUCCGUCUUUGCUGUACAAUUGGCAAGACCUCGAUCUGCCUGAGGACUGGGUGUUGCUAGAUUGCAGCUUUGUGUACUUGGGAGCUGGGAGGUUUUGCAUUACCAAAAUCUUUGAGUUUGGAGAGGACGAAGACACGGGCCACCCAACUGAGAUGGGUGCUGUGAUUUCUGGUGUGGAGGUGGUGCCCAGCGACAAAACACUGCAGAUGGUCAAACACAAGUCCAUAUUCUACAACUUCGUCAGGGAUAACAUCGUGUGUGUCUUCUAA
rnacentral:rRNA from 1 species